GAUGAACGCUGGCGGCGUGCCUAAUACAUGCAAGUCGAGCGAACAGACGAGGAGCUUGCUCCUCUGACGUUAGCGGCGGACGGGUGAGUAACACGUGGAUAACCUACCUAUAAGACUGGGAUAACUUCGGGAAACCGGAGCUAAUACCGGAUAAUAUAUUGAACCGCAUGGUUCAAUAGUGAAAGACGGUUUUGCUGUCACUUAUAGAUGGAUCCGCGCCGCAUUAGCUAGUUGGUAAGGUAACGGCUUACCAAGGCAACGAUGCGUAGCCGACCUGAGAGGGUGAUCGGCCACACUGGAACUGGGACACGGUCCAGACUCCUACGGGAGGCAGCAGUAGGGAAUCUUCCGCAAUGGGCGAAAGCCUGACGGAGCAACGUCGCGUGAGUGAUGAAGGUCUUCGGAUCGUAAAACUCUGUUAUUAGGGAAGAACAAAUGUGUAAGUAACUAUGCACGUCUUGACGGUACCUAAUCAGAAAGCCACGGCUAACUACGUG
rnacentral:rRNA from 1 species